rnacentral:rRNA from 1 species
GUUAGCGACGUGCCAGCGGCCGCGGUAUGACGGAGGUGGCGAGCGUUAAUCGGAAGUACGGGUCGUAAAGCGUGCGUAGGCGGUCCCGCAAGUCCGCUGUGAAAGCCCCGAGCUCAACUGGGGAACUGCAGUGGAAACUAUGGGACUUGAAUCCGGCAGAGGGGGGUGGAAUGCCACGUGUAGCAGUGAAAUGCGUAGAGAUGUGGCGGAACACCGAUGGCGAAGGCAGCCCCCUGGGCUGAGAUUGACGCUCAGGCACGAAAGCGUGGGGAGCAAACAGGAUUAGAUUCCCUGGUAGUC